CCUUCUGUAGCUCAAUUGGUAGAGCAUGUGACUGUAGAGCCAUGGGCAGUGAUCACAGGGUCGCUGGUUCGAUUCCGGCCGGAAGGA
rnacentral:tRNA from 1 species